rnacentral:rRNA from 1 species
AUUGAACGCUGGCGGCGUGCCUAACACAUGCAAGUCGAGCGGAUGAAGGGGGCUUUCUCCUGGAUUCAGUUGCCGGCGGGCGGGUGAUGCAUAGGAAUCUACCUGGUCUUUGAGGAUAGCGUACGGUCACGGGCGCUAAUACCGCAUCCGUUCAGAUGGUGAAAGGGGUGGAUCUUCGGAGCUCACGCUAUCUGAUGAGCCUAGGUCGGAUUAGCUAGUUGGUGGGGUAAGGGCGUACCAAGGCGGCGAUCCGUAACUGGGCUGAGAGGGUGAUCAGUCACACUGGAACUGAGACACGGUCCAGACUCCUACGGGAGGCAGCAGUGGGGAAUAUUGGACAAUGGGCGAAAGCCUGAUGCAGCCAUGCCGCGUGAGUGAAGAAGGUCUUCGGAUUGUAAAGCACUUUUAGUUGGGAGGAAGGUAAGUAUGUGAAUCCCUGCCUGUCUUGACGUUACCAACAGAAAAAGCACCGGCUAACUUCGUG